GAGUGAUUUCUUAUGGCAGUUCAAUUGCGGAGGUCAGCAACGUGUCAGUAUUCGAAAUUGGCUCAUUGCCACAUUGCAGAUGCCACACCAUGCCGUGCCUCGUCCACUGGUUGAAUAAUUUAUGGAUCCACUGUGGGAACACGCCUUCUUCUAGCAUAGGAAAUUAUGGGAGUUUCUUUCUAAUAUUUCAACAUCUCCAUCUCAUCCAACUCUAUUUACCUACAAUAUCGGCUUAGCCAUAAGGCAGGCAGGAAAGUGUCACGUCCUGUGGGCUCAUUCUUGAAUCUCACUCUCUCUGCCUGCCUGCCCCUCUCGAGCACUCGCCUGCACCUUAGCGGUGUUUUGUCAAAUUUAACACUUUUUCUUCAUCUGUCAUCUACAUCUACAACACUUCUCACACCAACACGCUCCUUUAGCUAGCCACCCUCCCCUAGAGCCACACACUGCCGAGUCAGGGCUGAGAAGCGGCAGAGACGAGCCAGAGGCAAAGGAAGAGACGUGUCUGCGCGAAGCAGAGUGUGAAUGAGAGAAUGUGCAAGAAACAAACAUAAGCUGCGGGACGGGGUGGG
rnacentral:lncRNA from 1 species